rnacentral:rRNA from 1 species
AACGAACGCUGGCGGCAUGCCUAACACAUGCAAGUCGAACGAGACCUUCGGGUCUAGUGGCGCACGGGUGCGUAACGCGUGGGAAUCUGCCCUUGGGUUCGGAAUAACAGUUAGAAAUGACUGCUAAUACCGGAUGAUGACGUAAGUCCAAAGAUUUAUCGCCCAAGGAUGAGCCCGCGUAGGAUUGGCUUGUUGGUGAGGUAAAAGCUCACCAAGGCGACGAUCCUUAGCUGGUCUGAGAGGAUGAUCAGCCACACUGGGACUGAGACACGGCCCAGACUCCUACGUGAGGCAGCAGUGGGGAAUAUUGGACAAUGGGCGAAAGCCUGAUCCAGCAAUGCCGCGUGAGUGAUGAAGGCCUUAGGGUUGUAAAGCUCCUUUACCCGGGAUGAUAAUGACAGUACCGGGAGAAUAAGCCCCGGCUAACUCCGUGCCAGCAGCCGCCGUAAUAC